UACGGAGGGGGUUAGCGUUGUUCGGAAUUACUGGGCGUAAAGCGCGCGUAGGCGGAUUAGUAAGUUGGGGGUGAAAUCCCAGGGCUCAACCCUGGAACUGCCUUCAAAACUACUAGUCUUGAGUUCGAGAGAGGUGAGUGGAAUUCCGAGUGUAGAAGUGAAAUUCGUAGAUAUUCGGAGGAACACCAGUGGCGAAGGCGGCUCACUGGCUCGAUACUGACGCUGAGGUGCGAAAGCGUGGGGAGCAAACAGG
rnacentral:rRNA from 1 species